CUGGUCGCUCUUUGGCACACCCAACGGCGCCGGCGGAUGGACCCCCGGCAGGCACGGCGCAGGACCUGCUCGACCCUGCCGCGCCGCUGCCAGAACUGGCGCCGGGUUUCCAGCUCGGGAUGGAGAUCUUGGCAUAGUUGACUUUGCGAGACUUGUGUUGGCUCUAGGAACCAACACACCAAGGAUGUUGUAGCUGCCAACAGACAGUUUUGAAUUCUCACGGCAUGCUCAACAUCAUUAAAUGCUGGUUGAAAAAAAGGAACAUUUGGUCUGGUACUUUUGACUGGAGGGAGUAACAGUGAGAACUCAAGCCAGCUCAACACGCGGUGAGAAGACAAGUUCUACGCCACGUUGGACUGAGCUCCAACCAAGUUUCUCAGUUUCUACAGAUGUGCGGUGGAGAGCACCCAGAGCACCAGCAUAACGAUGUGACACAGCAGCUUCACAGCUAAAGAGAGGAAGGCACAGCAAAGCAAAAAGGAAGCAUCCUAAUGAAGAACUUCUACAAUAUUCGAUGGAGGAAGAAGACACGGCAUUAAGAAUCUACCACAUUGCAAGACCAAUAUCACUAUGGGACCGUGACACCUCUACUCUUAUGAGAAUAAAGAGUGUCACAGGUUUCCAUUUUAUUUUUCGCUCCCCAAAUCCUGGAUGAACAGUCAAGCGCUCCGAGUCUUGAGGAGCGAAGAGAGGAGUGUUCUGACUCUACCAGAAACAAAACCUGAUUGACGGCCAUCAAUGUCACAAG